AUCGUGAUAAGGGAACCCCGAGUGCCCGUAAAUUCGGGCUGUCCGCCAGUGUAAAUAACUGGUGAAGAAAGGGCCGGGCAAGACCGGUGCCAGCCGCCGCGGUAAUACCGGCGGCUCGAGUGGUGGCCACUAUUACUGGGCUUAAAGCGUCCGUAGCUGGAUUGUUAAGUCUCUUGGGAAAUCCACCGGCUCAACCGAUGGGCGUUCAGGAGAAACUGGCAAUCUAGGGACCGGGAGAGGUGAGAGGUACUCCAGGGGUAGGAGUGAAAUCCUGUAAUCCUUGGGGGACCACCUGUGGCGAAGGCGUCUCACUAGAACGGCUCCGACAGUGAGGGACGAAAGCUGGGGGAGCAAACCGGAUUAGAUACCCGGGUAGUCCCAGCUGUAAACGAUGCGCGUUAGGUGUAUCGGUGACCACGAGUCAUCGAGGUGCCGAAGGGAAACCGUGAAACGU
rnacentral:rRNA from 1 species